CGGCGGAACACGUGAAAUUCCGUCGGAAUCCGGGAGGACCAUCUCCCAAGGCUAAAUACUCCCUAGUGACCGAUAGUGAACCAGUACCGUGAGGGAAAGGUGAAAAGCACCCCGGAAGGGGAGUGAAACAGUUCCUGAAACCGUGUGCCUACAAGUAGUUAGAGCCCGUUAAUGGGUGAUAGCGUGCCUUUUGUAGAAUGAACCGGCGAGUUACGAUUUGUUGCAAGGUUAAGCGGAAAAAGCGGAGCCGUAGCGAAAGCGAGUCUGAAUAGGGCGCAUAAGUAACAGGUCGUAGACCCGAAACCAGGUGAUCUACCCAUGUCCAGGAUGAAGGUAAGGUAAUACUUACUGGAGGUCCGAACCCACGCACGUUGAAAAGUGCGGGGAUGAGGUGUGGGUAGCGGAGAAAUUCCAAUCGAACUUGGAGAUAGCUGGUUCUCUCCGAAAUAGCUUUAGGGCUAGCCUCGAGGUAAAGAGUCAUGGAGGUAGAGCACUGUUUGGACUAGGGGCCCUUCUCGGGUUACCGAAUUCAGAUAAACUCCGAAUGCCAUGUACUUAUACUCGGGAGUCAGACUGCGAGUGAUAAGAUCCGUAGUCGAAAGGGAAACAGCCCAGACCACCAGUUAAGGUCCCCAAAUAUAUGUUAAG
rnacentral:rRNA from 1 species